GAGUUUGAUCCUGGCUCAGAAUGAACGCUGGCGGCGUGCUUUACACAUGCAAGUCGAGCGAGGCGUGUAGCAAUACACAGUCGAGCGGCGAACGGGUGAGUAACGCGUGGAUUAUCUGCCCUGAGGUGGGGGAUAACCCGGGGAAACUCGGGCUAAUACCGCGUAGGACCGUGAGGUCAAAGGGGGGUCGCAAGAUCUCUCGCCAUAGGAGGAGUCCGCGUCCGAUUAGCUAGUUGGUAGGGUAAUGGCCUACCAAGGCGACGAUCGGUAGCCGGCCUGAGAGGGUGAUCGGCCACACUGGAACUGAGACACGGUCCAGACUCCUACGGGAGGCAGCAGUGGGGAAUUUUGCGCAAUGGGCUAACGCCUGACGCAGCAACGCCGCGUGGAGGAUGAAGGUCCUUGGAUUGUAAACUCCUGUCAGCAGGGAAAAAGCAACCUGACCUCAUACGUCAGGAAGUUGAUUGUACCUGCAGAGGAAGCCCCGGCUAACUCUGUGCCAGCCGCCGCAGUAAC
rnacentral:rRNA from 1 species